rnacentral:rRNA from 1 species
GAUGAACGCUAGCGGCAGGCUUAACACAUGCAAGUCGAGGGGCAGCACGAGUAGCAAUACCUGGUGGCGACCGGCGCAAGGGUGCGUAACGCGUGAGCAACAUGCCCUAUACAGGGGGAUAAUCCAGGGAAACUUGGUCUAAUAUCCCAUAGUAUUUAGAGGAGGCAUCUUCUAUAAAUUAAAGCUUCGGUGGUAUAGGAUUGGCUCGCGUGACAUUAGCUAGAUGGUGAGGUAACGGCUCACCAUGGCAAUGAUGUCUAGGGGUUCUGAGAGGAAGGCCCCCCACACUGGGACUGAGACACGGCCCAGACUCCUACGGGAGGCAGCAGUGAGGAAUAUUGGACAAUGGAUGGAAAUCUGAUCCAGCCAUGCCGCGUGCAGGAAGACAGCCCUAUGGGUUGUAAACUGCUUUUAUAUGGGAGCAAUAAGGUCUACGUGUAGACUGAUGAGAGUACCAUAUGAAU